rnacentral:rRNA from 1 species
GUGGCAGCCGCCGCGGUAAAACCAGCACCUCAAGUGGUCAGGAGGAUUAUUGGGCCUAAAGCAUCCGUAGCCUGUUCUAUAAGUUUCCGGUUAAAUCCAUUAGCUCAACUAAUGGGCCGCCGAAAAUACUGUAGAACUAGGGAGUGGGAGAGGUAGACGGUAUUCGGUAGGAAGGGGUAAAAUCCUUUGAUCUAUUGAGGACCACCUGUGGCGAAGGCGGUCUACCAGAACACGUUCGACGGUGAGGGAUGAAAGCUGGGGGAGCAAACCGGAUUAGAUACCCGGGUAGUCCCAGCUGUAAACGAUGCAGACUCGGUGAUGCGCUGGCUUGUGGCCAGUGCAGUGCCGCAGGGAAGCCGUUAAGUUUGCCGCCUGGGAAGUACGUACGCAAGUAUGAAACUUAAAGGAAUUGGCGGGGGAGCACCACAAGGGGUGAAGCCUGCAGUUCAAUUGGAGUCAACGCCAGAAAUCUUACCCGAAGAGACAGCAGAAUGAAGGUCAAGCUGGAGACUUUACCAGACAAGCUGAGAAGUGGUGCAUGGCCGUCGCCAGCUCGUGCCGUGAGAUGUCCUGUUAAGUCAGGUAACGAGCGAGAUCCCUGCCUCUAGUUGCCACCAUUACUCUCAGGAGUAGUGGGGCGAAUUAGCGGGACCGCCGCAGUUAAUGCGGAGGAAGGAAGGGGCCACGGCAGGUCAGUAUGCCCUGAAACUUUGGGGCCACACGCGGGCUGCAAUGGUAGUGACAAUGGGUUCCGAAUCCGAAAGGAGGAGGCAAUCCUCAAACGCUACCACAGUUAUGAUUGAGGGCUGUAACUCGCCCUCAUGAAUAUGGAAUCCCUAGUAACUGCGUGUCAUUACCGCGCGGUGAAUACGUCCCUGCUCCUUGCACACACCGCCCGUC